rnacentral:rRNA from 1 species
AUUGAACGCUGGCGGCAUGCUUUACACAUGCAAGUCGAGCGGCAGCGCGGGGGCAACCCUGGCGGCGAGCGGCGAACGGGUGAGUAAUGCAUCGGAACGUACCCUGGAGUGGGGGGAUAACGCCGCGAAAGCGGCGCUAAUACCGCAUAUGCUCUGAGGAGGAAAGUGGGGGACCUGCAAGGGCCUCACGCUCUGGGAGCGGCCGAUGUCCGAUUAGCUAGUUGGUGGGGUAAAGGCUUACCAAGGCGACGAUCGGUAGCUGGUCUGAGAGGAUGAUCAGCCACACUGGGACUGAGACACGGCCCAGACUCCUACGGGAGGCAGCAGUGGGGAAUUUUGGACAAUGGGGGCAACCCUGAUCCAGCCAUGCCGCGUGAGUGAAGAAGGCCUCGG